rnacentral:rRNA from 1 species
AAAAAAUUAAAAUAAAUUACUAAAAUAGUAUAUAAUUAUUUAUUGAAACUUAAAUAAUUUGGCGGUAUUUUAGUUCAUUUAGAGGAAUCUGUCUAGUAAUUGAUAAUCCACGAAUAAUCAUAUUUAAUUUAUAAUUUUAUAUAUCGUUGUUAAAAAAAUAUUUUUAAAUAAAAAUAAUAUUUUAAAAUUUUAAUAAUAAAAUUAAUUCAGAUCAAGAUGUAGAUAAUAAUUAAAAUAUAAGAUGGAUUACAAUAUAAAUAUAUAAAUGGAUAUUAAUUUUGAAAAAGUUAGUUAAAAGUGGAUUUAAAUGUAAUUUUAAAUAAUUUUUUAAAAUGAUUAAUAAUUGAAAUAUGUACAUAUUGCCCGUCACUUUCAUUUAAAAAUUGAAAUAAGUCGUAACAAAGUAGGGGUACUGGAAAGUGUUCCUAGAAAGA